rnacentral:rRNA from 1 species
GUGGGGAAUUUUGGACAAUGGGCGCAAGCCUGAUCCAGCAAUGCCGCGUGCAGGAAGAAGGCCUUCGGGUUGUAAACUGCUUUUGUACGGAACGAAACGGUCCGGGUUAAUACCCUGGGCUAAUGACGGUACCGUAAGAAUAAGCACCGGCUAACUACGUGCCAGCAGCCGCGGUAAUACGUAGGGUGCAAGCGUUAAUCGGAAUUACUGGGCGUAAAGCGUGCGCAGGCGGUUUUGUAAGACAGGCGUGAAAUCCCCGGGCUCAACCUGGGAAUUGCGUGUGUGACUGCAAGGCUGGAGUGCGGCAGAGGGGGAUGGAAUUCCGCGUGUAGCAGUGAAAUGCGUAGAUAUGCGGAGGAACACCGAUGGCGAAGGCAAUCCCCUGGGCCUGCACUGACGCUCAUGCACGAAAGCGUGGGGAGCAAACAGGAUUAGAUACCCUGGUAGUCC